GACAAAUAACCAACUCAGAAACUUUUUCAUGACAAUAUCAGCUGUUUCAUUUCGGGUUUGACGUCUACUGAGAAUGCCUGCGUCAUUAAAGUCUUGCUAAAAUUGCAAUCUUGAUGUCGUGUGGUUUUACCUGGAAUUCAGCGUCUCAGAACUGUGCCCGAUGAGCUGUGAUGGCCACAGGACCUUUUUCUGACAGAAUGCAAUGCCACAGAUGUUUUGUUACCACUGCAAAUAAAAGAUCUCUAGUGUCA